rnacentral:rRNA from 1 species
GACGAACGCUGGCGGCGUGCUUAACACAUGCCAGUCGAACGAAGUGGCGAACGGGUGAGUAACGCGUAAUCAACCUGCCCUUCAGAGGGGGACAACAGUUGGAAACGACUGCUAAUACCGCAUACUGAAGGAGGGGAUUUCGUCUGAUUAGCUAGUUGGAGGGGUAACGGCCCAACAAGGCGAUGAUCAGUAGGCGGUCUGAGAGGAGGAACGGCAACAUUGGGACGGAGACACGGCCAAGACGCAUACGGGAGGCAGCAGUGGGGAAUCUUCCGCAAUGGACGAAAGUCUGACGGAGCAACGCCGCGUGAGGGAUGACGGCCUUCGGGUUGUAAAGCUCUGUUAAUCGGGACGCGGUACCGGAAUAGAAAGCCACGGCUAACUACGUGCCAGCAGCCGCGGUAAUUC